rnacentral:rRNA from 1 species
AUUGAACGCUGGCGGCAGGCCUAACACAUGCAAGUCGAGCGAGUGGCGGACGGGUGAGUAAUGUAUGGGGAACUGCCCGAUAGAGGGGGAUAACUACUGGAAACGGUGGCUAAUACCGCAUACGAUCGGAUGAACCCAGAUGGGAUUUGCUAGUAGGUGGGGUAAAGGCGCACCUAGGCGACGAUCUCUAGCUGGUCUGAGAGGAUGAUCAGCCACACUGGGACUGAGACACGGCCCAGACUCCUACGUGAGGCAGCAGUGGGGAAUAUUGCACAAUGGGCGCAAGCCUGAUGCAGCCAUGCCGCGUGUAUGAAGAAGGCCUUCGGGUUGUAAAGUACUUUCAGCGGGGAGGCGUUACCCGCAGAAGAAGCACCGGCUAACUCCGUGCCAGCAGCCGCGGUAAUAC